GACGAACGCUGGCGGCGUGCCUAAUACAUGCAAGUUGAGCGCUGAAGGUUGGUACUUGUACCAACUGGAUGAGCAGCGAACGGGUGAGUAACGCGUGGGGAAUCUGCCUUGAGCGGGGGACAACAUUUGGAAACGAAUGCUAAUACCGCAUAAAAACUUUAAACACAAGUUUUAAGUUUGAAAGAUGCAAUUGCAUCACUCAAAGAUGAUCCCGCGUUGUAUUAGCUAGUUGGUGAGGUAAAGGCUCACCAAGGCGAUGAUACAUAGCCGACCUGAGAGGGUGAUCGGCCACAUUGGGACUGAGACACGGCCCAAACUCCUACGGGAGGCAGCAGUAGGGAAUCUUCGGCAAUGGACGAAAGUCUGACCGAGCAACGCCGCGUGAGUGAAGAAGGUUUUCGGAUCGUAAAACUCUGUUGGUAGAGAAGAACGUUGGUGAGAGUGGAAAGCUCAUCAAGUGACGGUAACUACCCAGAAAGGGACGGCUAACUACGUG
rnacentral:rRNA from 1 species